rnacentral:lncRNA from 1 species
GCUGAAGCUUAUUGAUCUAACAGACGAUUAUAAUGGAAUUAUUAUCAAAAUCAACAAACGUUUGUUCUGUGAGUCAUAAUCAUUGAUUGUAAGUCUGUAACCUGGAUUUUGUAACAGUAAUCAUUACUCCCCCAAGUCUGUGAGGGUCAACAGGGGUUCAUCUGAUGAGCAAAAAAAAUUUGUAAGGGUUCCGCGGAACCCAGUGUCUCGCCUAUUUUUGCUGUAAAUCGCAGACUCAACAACAAUGAGGAAAAAAAUCAAUAAAAUAUUCCUCUUGUUACUAUUUUAUGAUUGUAAGAAAAUCUAAGUCCAUUUAAAAGUAAAUUACAGAAAAAACGGAGUAAUCUUUUUACAAACUUUACUUCUG